UUUCGGGCGGGGAUUAGUGGCGAACGGGUGAGUAACACGUGGGCAAUCUGCCCUGCACUCUGGGACAAGCCCUGGAAACGGGGUCUAAUACCGGAUAUGACCGUCUGCCGCAUGGUGGAUGGUGUAAAGCUCCGGCGGUGCAGGAUGAGCCCGCGGCCUAUCAGCUUGUUGGUGAGGUAGUGGCUCACCAAGGCGACGACGGGUAGCCGGCCUGAGAGGGCGACCGGCCACACUGGGACUGAGACACGGCCCAGACUCCUACGGGAGGCAGCAGUGGGGAAUAUUGCACAAUGGGCGAAAGCCUGAUGCAGCGACGCCGCGUGAGGGAUGACGGCCUUCGGGUUGUAAACCUCUUUCAGCAGGGAAGAAGCGAAAGUGACGGUACCUGCAGAAGAAGCGCCGGCUAACUACGUGCCAGCAGCCGCGGUAAUACGUAGGGCGCAAGCGUUGUCCGGAAUUAUUGGGCGUAAAGAGCUCGUAGGCGGCUUGUCACGUCGGUUGUGAAAGCCCGGGGCUUAACCCCGGGUCUGCAGUCGAUACGGGCAGGCUAGAGUUCGGUAGGGGAGAUCGGAAUUCCUGGUGUAGCGGUGAAAUGCGCAGAUAUCAGGAGGAACACCGGUGGCGAAGGCGGAUCUCUGGGCCGAUACUGACGCUGAGGAGCGAAAGCGUGGGGAGCGAACAGGAUUAGAUACCCUGGUAGUCCACGCCGUAACGGUGGGCACUAGGUGUGGGCAACAUUCCACGUUGUCCGUGCCGCAGCUAACGCAUUAAGUGCCCCGCCUGGGGAGUACGGCCGCAAGGCUAAAACUCAAAGGAAUUGA
rnacentral:rRNA from 1 species